rnacentral:rRNA from 1 species
GGGCUGAUGACUGGGGUGAAGUCGUAACAAGGUAUCCGUACCGGAAGGUGCGGAUGGAUCACCUCCUAA